rnacentral:sRNA from 1 species
GUUUUGCGUUAGUGAUGGAAACGGCAUCCUUUUGCCUAAGCAAAAGAUAUAGUGUACAGCACGACAAUAC